AAACAGUGUGAGAAAAGGUUAACAUUGUCGCCUAUGGGAAAUGUAUUGGUGGACUGUAUACCCCAUAUAUAUUGAGUACGUCUAUUGGUUCAUGGUGAUACAGGAAAACUUCAAGGUUCCUGCAGAUGGUGUUUAAAACUAUUGGCCAGUGAACACAAACCCAUUUAAUUAUAUUUUGAAUCUUCACCAGGAGAAAAAAGAUGGCAGUACUUCUAAUGUAAGCAGCUACUAGGGAAGAUUUAAUGAAGGAAGAUGAGGAAGUGGAGA